AUAAAAGCUGGCCGCCCCAGUCAGCAGCGGCAACCUGCUUGGGUCCCCUUUCACGCUGUGGAAGCUUUGUUCUUUGGCUCUUCACAAUAAAUCUGCUCACUCUGGAUCUGUGCAACCUUUAAGAGCUGUAAUGCUCACCGCAAAGGUCCGCACCUUCUGUUAGGAUUACAGAUGUGAGCCACCAUGUUCAGCCCUGUGCCUAUUUUUCUACUGGGGCACUGAAGGAUUUUACAGAGAAAGGCAUAGUCAGUUUCAUAUUAAUUAAAGAUAACUCUGGCAGCACUAGAAAUGAUGGCUCUAUCUUUGCAUUUCCAACUCUAGGACAAUGAGUAAAAGUUUACUGCAUUGGAUUGGGCUUU
rnacentral:lncRNA from 10 species